rnacentral:rRNA from 1 species
UACGUAGGGUCCUAGCGUUGUCCGGAUUUACUGGGCGUAAAGGGCUCGUAGGCGGCCAACUAAGUCAGACGUGAAAUCCCUCGGCUUAACCGGGGAACUGCGUCUGAUACUGGAUGGCUUGAGUUCGGGAGAGGGAUGCGGAAUUCCAGGUGUAGCGGUGAAAUGCGUAGAUAUCUGGAGGAACACCGGUGGCGAAGGCGGCAUCCUGGACCGGCAUUGACGCUGAGGCGCGAAAGCUAGGGGAGCAAACGGG